UACGUAGGGCGCAAGCGUUGUCCGGAUUCACUGGGUGUAAAGGGUGCGCGGGCGGGAAAGUAAGUUAGAGGUGAAAUCUCACAGCUCAACUGUGAAACGGCCUUUGAUACUGCUUUUCUUGAGUUAGGGAGAGGUUGAUGGAAUUCCAGGUGUAGCGGUGAAAUUCGUAGAUAUUCGGAAGAACACCAGUGGCGAAGGCGACUUACUGGACACAUAUUGACGCUGAGGCGCGAAAGCGUGGGGAGCAAACAGG
rnacentral:rRNA from 1 species